UAAAUCAAGAUUUUCUCAAAACAAAUCAGAAAAUAAGAACACGAGAGAUUUUUCGAUUAAAGGCCCCAAAGGUUCAGUGAUCGCUUCUAAUGCUUAGUCCCCCGUUGAGCAUCCAUAAAGGAUUAAGUUCGAAUCCACUAAAAAUCGGCCACAAAUAGGCAAAGUACAAUUUACAGAACACUCAGUUUCAGAUCACAGAGAAACAACUUAAUCUUCUCUUAAUAGAAACUCACGUAAGAGUUUCUUUACAGAUUCUCUCAAAAUAACACUCAGUAUUUCAGAGAAAAACUCAAGAUCAGAAACGAAGGAGAGAAAACGGCACGCAGCUAGAAAACCCUCAGAAUACUAAAAGCUAACCCUAAAAAUCUGAGGCUUCCUAUUUAUAUGAAAGAUAAAGAUCCAAUGUCCACCGAUUUUCCACUUGUCAUUGAUCCAAGAAAAAUGCUCCUUUUGGCCAGAAAAUGCUCAAUUCAACAGCCUUGAGAAAAUGGGCUCACAUCACAAAAUGCAGCAACACAGAAACUUACAAUCUCCACCUUUGCUGUAUUUUGUGCCUGCAUCUAUGUGGAUUCUAACUUAGUCUUUUAUUUCAUUUGCUCUGAUCACUUGUUUACAAAAAAAUUGUUAGCAAGUUUCGAGAUUUAAUAAUCUCAAACAAUGUGAAAACUUACAAAGUGGUAUUACCUUUAUCCUAACAUCAGUAGGAUUGACCAUAGUGGGUAUAUAAAUCAGUUUAAUACCCCCUUUAUCAAUUAUAUCUCUAAUGAAAUGAAAUUUAACACAAUGUGCUUUGACCUAUCAUGAAAAUUUGGAUUUUUAAUUAAGAAAAUAGUACUUUGAUUAUCAGAACAUAACUCUACCUAACAUUCUAUAAGACCUAAUUCAUUUAACUGUCCUUUCAGCUACAGUCCCUCUUUAACAGCUUUAGUGGCAGCCAUAUAUUCUAUCUCAGUAGAGGAUAAGGCAACUAUUUUCUAAAGUUGUGACUUCCAGCUAAUGGAAGUAUUGUUUAUGACAUAAAAAUAUGCAGAAGUAGACUUUCUAUUAUCUAGGUUUCCAGCAAAAUCUGAGUCAACAUAACCUUUUAGUUUAAAACAAUCUUUACUUGUUUCAAACAUAAGUCUUAGAUUACAUGUGCCUUUCAGAUAUUGAAUCAGGUUUUUCAUGUAUUUCCAAUGAAACUCACCUAGAUUACUCAUGAAUCUACUUAAUACACUUACAACAUAUGCUAUAUCAGGUCUAGUACAUACCAUUACAUAUAUAACUGAUCCAACAACAUUAGCAUAGGGCACAUUUACCAUUUUUUAAAUUGUUCUUCUGUGUUAGGUGAUUGCUCAACAGAUAAUUUCAUGCAAGCAGACAAAGGUAAACUAAUAGGCUUGGCAUUCUCAAGAAAAAAUCUUUUGACCACUUUUUCAAUGUAAGAUUUCUGAGUUAAAAAUAUUUUUCCAUAAAUAUUUAAUCUCUUAUAAUUUCCAUGCCUAAAAUCUUUCUUGCAAGGCCCAGAUCCUACCUUUCAAAUUCCAAUUUCAAAUUUUCUUUUAUGGAAUUAAGAGUAACAGAAUUGUGACCAGCCAACAACAUAUCAUCAACAUAUAAAAGAAGGUAAAAGAAUUCAGAAUCAUUAUUCCUCUUAAAAUAAAAACAAAGAUCAAAGUCUGAUUUCUUGAACUCUAGGCCUUGUAUAAAAGAAUCGCAUCUCUUAUACCAUUGGCUAGGAGUAUGUUUUAAGCCAUAUAGUAAUUUAUUUAGGAGACACACUAGAUUGCCAUUAUUUUUUACCCCAAACCCUUUAGGCUGUGUCUUAUAUUUGGUUUCAUCUAAAGAACCAUACAAGAAGACAGUCUUUACAUCAAGUUGCUCCAGUUCCAUAUCAAACUGGGUAACAAUGGCAAGGAGAAUUCUAAUAGAGGUGUAUUUAACUACAGGUGAGAAAAUUUCAGUAAAGUCUAUCCAUUCUCUUUGUGUGAAGCCUUUAGCUACAAGCCUUGCCUUAUAUCUUUUAUUAGAUAUAUUUGAAUCCCCCUUUUUAAUCUUAUACACUCAAUUACAGUUAACUAGUUUACAUUCUUCAGGUUUCUUAACCAAUUCCCAAGUUUUAUUUUUAUACAAGGAGUUUAUUUCAUCUUCCAUGGCUUCUAUCCAUUUUGAUGACUCUUUUGAAGAUAUUGCUUUCUCAUAGGAGGUGGGCUCAAGAUCAGAGGGCUUAAAAUAUAUUUCAGCAGAUACAUAAUCUGUAUAUUGACAUCUGGAAGGAGGUCUUAUUUCCCUCCUUUCCCUAUUUCUUGCAAGCUGAUAAUUUUGCAGCUCAUGUGCUGGGCUUAAUUCUUGAUUAUCAUUCAGAAUUUCAACAUCUAAAUUGUUAUUAAGCUCUGUUUGAGGCCGCUCCACCUCAAAUCAAGUCUACCUAUCAAUAUUUUCUUUGUUCAACUCAAUUUCUGUGAUAAUAAAAUCAUCAUCCUUUAUGUUUUCAUGGGUUUUGUCACUAAGACAUGGAAACUCAUCCUCAUUGAAAAUCACAGACCUACUUAUUAUCACCUUAUAACCUCUAGUAUCCCUUAACCAAAGUCUAUAGCCUUUAACUCUCCCUCCAUAUCCUAAGAAGACACCCUUUUUUGACCUAGGAUCCAAUUUUGAGUCAUUAUGAUGUGCAUAUGCAGCAAAACCAAAAGUUCUGAGGUAGGAGUAGUCAGGCAUAGAACCAGACCAGAUCUGUUCAGGGAUUCUAUUAUUUAAGGAACUACAGGGUCAUUUAUUCAAUAAGUAAUAGGCUGUCUUUACAACUUUCCCCCAAAAUAUUUUAGGCAUGCUAGAACUAAUCAGCAUACACCUGGUCCUCUUAAGAUUAGUUCUAUUUAGUCUCUCAACAACCCCAUUUUUCUGAGGUGUAUAGGUAACAGUUUUAUGUCUCAAUAUGCCUUGAUUGCUGCAGUAUUGAUCAAAUUCUGUACUGCAAAAUUCCAGCCCAUUAUCAGUUCUAAGAUUCUUAAUCUUCUUGCUUGUUUAGUUUUCAAUUAAUGUACACCAUUGUUUAAAUAUUACAAAAGUAUCGGAUUUUGAUUUAAGCAAGAAAAUCUAGGACUUCCUGGAAUAAUCAUCUAUGAUUAAUAGGUAAUAUCUAUACCCAGACACUGUAGACACUGGUGCAGGACCCCACAAGUCACUGUGUAUAUAUUCCAAAAUAUUUUGAGACUUGUGUAUACCUACGCUAAAAGGUAACCUUACUUGUUUCUCGAAAAUACAAUAUUCACAAAAAGUUAGUUUUUGAACAUGGUCCUUUUCAAAUGCCCCUUGAUGAGAAAGAGAUUUUAAACCCUUUUCACCAAGAUGGCCAAGUCUCUUGUGCCAGAGUUCUGACUUAACAGAAUGUGCAACAAGAGUCACAAGAUUAUUCUUUGGUUUAGGUUUGGUGUCAAUAAAAUAGAUUCCAUUAAUUUUUGGGGCACUAAUAAUGGGCUUUUGAUCUUUGAUUAAAACCAUUCUUGAUUUCAACAUAAUAAUUCUAAUCAUCAAGAACACAUAGAGAGAUUAAAUUCCUACUUAGUGCUGGUACAUAUCUUGUAUGUUUCAGCAUUAAGUAAUGGCCAUAUUUUAAUUUCAGAAGGAUAUUGCCUAUGCCUCUAAUUUGGCAUGAUUCAUUAUUACCAAAUUUUACAAAACCUUCAUUAAGGUCAGAGAAGUUAGAGAACCAACCUUUAUUGGGGGUCCUAUGAAAAUAAUAACCUGAAUCCAAAACCCAGUUCUGAUAAGUUCUUUCAGUAACAGAUACAUAAGCAACCCCAAUGUUGGCUCUUGCUUCUUUACAAGGGAUAGCCAUGGACGAUGACCCAAUCUCAAAAUUGAGAUUAUUUUUCUGGUCAAUGGCUUUCUUGAAGCAAUCUUUGAUAAAAUGACCUAACUUCCUACAAUAAUAGCACUUUUUGUUUUUUGUCUUGGUCUUAUUAAAUUUCUUAUCCUUUCCUUUACUAUUAUUGACCCAUUUUCUUUUUACAAAAUUUCUAUCCUUGUAGUGAUUAGAUUGACUAAAGUUACUAACACCAUUAGUUUGAGAUUUCUGAUUUGUAGCGGCAUUUUCAACAUAAAAUACCUCCUUAUGUUCAGAUUUCAAUUCUUGCUCCUUAUUCAGAAGAGAGCUAUGGAUAAUUUCAACUGUCAAGUUACUCCUACCAGAUACCAAGGCAUUUCUGUCCCCUAAGGCUUUUAGCAGGCCUACUACCUUUUGCUCAUUUGAGAUCCUUUCUUCACAAUUUAUAAGUUCUUGUGUGAUCUUAUUAAAUCUAUUCAUGUUUUCUUCUGUAUCAAGAUUGUGAUCAAACUUAAAACUAAAGAAUUGCCCCCAUAGAAAACAUUUAUUUGGUAGUCUUAGUUAGGUACUGUUUUUCUAAGGCUGUCCAUAAUUCUGCAGCAGUCUUAGUUUUUCCUACUUUUCUAAUCACAGAGUCAGAUAAGUGUAAGAACAUAGUACUCCAAGCUAGCUCAUCUUGUUCAAUUUUUCUAUUUUUAGGUAGGUUUUCAGGCCAAUAUUCAUCAACAACUUUAACACAUUUUAAUUGUAACAGUAAGGCUUUAAUUUUCUGGCGUCAGAGACUAAAGUCUCCUUUGCCAUCCUAAAUCUGAAUAUCUACUUUUGAAUUCAUAGCAAGCAACAAUAUCCAAAUUGUGCUCAAGUGUGAUAUGUACAAUAAUUUGUCACGCAAGUCAAUACAGUAUAUGUCAAACAUGAUGUAGAAAGAUCUAACAAGAAGGAUCCCAAAUAGCAUACAAUGCAGAAAUAUUGUAGGGCCAAAAAAUAUACUUACACUAAGUAAGCAGAAGGAAAGUUCUCAACAUGUAUACCUUCACAAGAGCAUGUACAUGUGAUGAGAUAUUUCUUAAUUGAACACGAAGCCAAAAAAAAAAAAAUAUCACACCGUUAAUAUCAUCCAAUAGUUUUAAAAAAAACGAGAAUAUGAAUUCAAGUUAUAAAAAUACACACAGUAUUAAACUAAUAAGAAUUAAAAAAUUGAAAAUUCUGGUUUCUUGAAUCGAAAGAUCCCUGGAUUCCCUCAGAUUCUAGGGUUCUCUUAAGGAAACCUAGACAAAGGAAAAUACAGAGUAGAUCAAGUCGAACCAGACUCCUUUUCUUUUAAAAGCUACCAACAAAAAUGUUGUAGGAUGAAAGAAGAAAGAACUCCAAGAAGAUAUAUAAAAAUAAUAACAAAGGCAACCCAAAUUUUUUUUUCGAAUGUUGGCAAAUUUUUUUCAGAUCUGCCCAUUUUCUUUAGGCCAAGAGAAUCCCCCUUUGAGAUUCAAGUUUCAGAAAUUAGGUUUUGAGAAAACUGAAUUUAAGCAAAAAAUUUCAAGCUCUAAUACCAUUGUAGUUUCAGAAUCGAAUUUAUACCAAAAAAUACUCAACGCAGAAAUCAAGAUUUUCUCAAAACAAAUCAGAAAAUACGGCCAAAGGUCCCGGAAGUUCAGCGACCACUUCUAACGCUUAGUCCCCCGUUGAGCAUCCAUAAAUGAUUAAGCUCGAAUCCACUAAAAAUCGGUCACAAAUAGGCAAAGUACAAUUUACAGAACACUCAGUUCUAGAUCACAGAGAAACAACUCAAUCUUCCCUUAAUAGAAACUCACGUAAAAGUUUCUUUACAGAUUCUCUCAAAAUAACACUCAGUAUUUCAGAGGAAAAAUCAAGAUCAGAAACAAAGAAGAGAGAACGACACUCAGCCAAAAAACCCUCAGAAUACUAAAAGCUAACCCUAAAAAUCUGAGGCAUCCUAUUUAUAUGAAAGAUAAAGAUCCAACGUCCAUCGAUUGGC
rnacentral:lncRNA from 1 species